GCCCCCAUAGUCUAGCGGCCGAGGACAUCGCCCUUUCAAGGCGAAGACGGCGGUUCAACUCCGCCUGGGGGUACCA
rnacentral:tRNA from 1 species